rnacentral:rRNA from 1 species
AUACGGAGGGUGCAGGCGUUAAUCGGAAUUACUGGGCGUAAAGCGCGCGUAGGCGGAUAUUUAAGUCUCAUGUGAAAGCCCUGGGCUCAACCUGGGAACUGCAUGGGAUACUGGGUAUCUAGAAUACAGUAGAGGGUAGUGGAAUUUCAGGUGUAGCGGUGAAAUGCGUAGAGAUCUGAAGGAACAUCAGUGGCGAAGGCGACUACCUAGACUGAUAUUGACGCUGAGGUGCGAAAGCGUGGGGAGCAAACGGGAUUAGAUACCCUAGUAGUCC